UACGAAGGGGGCUAGCGUUGCUCGGAAUCACUGGGCGUAAAGCGCGCGCAGGCGGUCUUCCAAGUCAGUGGUGAAAGCCCGGAGCUCAACUCCGGAACUGCCAUUGAAACUGUUAGACUUGAGGAUGAGAGAGGUGAGUGGAAUUCCCAGUGUAGAGGUGAAAUUCGUAGAUAUUGGGAAGAACACCAGUGGCGAAGGCGGCUCACUGGCUCAUUACUGACGCUCAGGCGCGAUAGCGUGGGGAUCAAACAGG
rnacentral:rRNA from 1 species